CGGCUAACUACGUGCCAGCAGCCGCGGUAAUACGUAGGUGGCAAGCGUUNUCCGGAAUUAUUGGGCGUAAAGCGCGCGCAGGCGGAUCAGUCAGUCUGUNUUAAAAGUUCGGGGCUUAACCCCGUGAUGGGAUGGAAACUGCUGAUCUAGAGUAUCGGAGAGGAAAGUGGAAUUCCUAGUGUAGCGGUGAAAUGCGUAGAUAUUAGGAAGAACACCAGUGGCGAAGGCGACUUUCUGGACGAAAACUGACGCUGAGGCGCGAAAGCCAGGGGAGCGAACGGGAUUAGAUACCCCGGUAGUCUUGGCCGUAAACGAUGGGUACUAGGUGUAGGAGGUAUCGACCCCUUCUGUGCCGGAGUUAACGCAAUAAGUACCCCGCCUGGGGAGUACGACCGCAAGGUUGAAACUCAAAGGAAUUGACGGGGGCCCGCACAAGCGGUGGAGUAUGUGGUUUAAUUCGACGCAACGCGAAGAACCUUACCAGGUCUUGACAUUGAUGGACAGAACCAGAGAUGGUUCCUCUUCUUCGGAAGCCAGAAAACAGGUGGUGCACGGUUGUCNUCAGCUCGUGUCGUGAGAUGUUGGGUUAAGUCCCGCAACGAGCGCAACCCCUAUCUUAUGUUGCCAGCACUUCGGGUGGGAACUCAUGAGAGACUGCCGCAGACAAUGCGGAGGAAGGCGGGGAUGACGUCAAAUCAUCAUGCCCCUUAUGACCUGGGCUACACACGUACUACAAUGGGAGUUAAUAGACGGAAGCGAGAUCGCGAGAUGGAGCAAACCCGAGAAACACUCUCUCAGUUCGGAUCGUAGGCUGCAACUCGCCUACGUGAAGUCGGAAUCGCUAGUAAUCGCAGGUCAGCAUACUGCGGUGAAUACGUUCCCGGGCCUUGUACACACCGCCCGUCACACCACGAAAGUCGGAAGUGCCCAAAGCCGGUGGGGUAACCUUCGGGA
rnacentral:rRNA from 1 species